GACGAACGCUGGCGGCGUGCCUAAUACAUGCAAGUCGAACGCUGAAGGAGGAGCUUGCUUCUCUGGAUGAGUUGCGAACGGGUGAGUAACGCGUAGGUAACCUGCCUUGUAGCGGGGGAUAACUAUUGGAAACGAUAGCUAAUACCGCAUAAGAGUAGAUGUUGCAUGACAUUUGCUUAAAAGUUGCAAUUGCAUCACUACCAGAUGGACCUGCGUUGUAUUAGCUAGUUGGUGGGGUAACGGCUCACCAACGCGACGAUACAUAGCCGACCUGAGAGGGGGAUCGGCCACACUGGGACUGAGACACGGCCCAGACUCCUACAGGAGGCAGCAGAAGGGAAUAUUCGGCAAUGGGCGGAAGUCUGAGCGAGAAACGCCGCGGGAGUGAAGAAGGGUUUCGGGUCGUAAAGCUCUGUUGUAAGGGAAGAACGAGGGUGAGGGUGGAAAGUUCACACUGUGACGGUAACUUAACAGAAAGGGACGGCUAACUACGUG
rnacentral:rRNA from 1 species